rnacentral:rRNA from 1 species
UACGUAGGGUGCGAGCGUUGUCCGGAAUUACUGGGCGUAAAGAGCUCGUAGGUGGUUUGUCGCGUUGUUCGUGAAAACUCACAGCUUAACUGUGGGCGUGCGGGCGAUACGGGCAGACUAGAGUGCGGUAGGGGAGAUUGGAAUUCCUGGUGUAGCGGUGGAAUGCGCAGAUAUCAGGAGGAACACCGAUGGCGAAGGCAGAUCUCUGGGCCGUUACUGACGCUGAGGAGCGAAAGCGUGGGGAGCGAACAGG